GCUUCUUUGGCUCAGUCGGUAGAGCGUAGGUCUCAUAAUCCUAAGGUCGUGAGUUCGAUCCUCACAGGAAGCA
rnacentral:tRNA from 7 species